rnacentral:rRNA from 1 species
GACGAACGCUGGCGGCGUGCUUAACACAUGCAAGUCGAACGGAAAGGCCCUGCUUUUGUGGGGUGCUCGAGUGGCGAACGGGUGAGUAACACGUGAGUAUCCUGCCCUUGACUUUGGGAUAACUUCAGGAAACUGGGGCUAAUACCGGAUAGGAGCUCCUGCUGCAUGGUGGGGGUUGGAAAGUUUCGGCGGUUGGGGAUGGACUCGCGGCUUAUCAGCUUGUUGGUGGGGUAGUGGCUUACCAAGGCUUUGACGGGUAGCCGGCCUGAGAGGGUGACCGGCCACAUUGGGACUGAGAUACGGCCCAGACUCCUACGGGAGGCAGCAGUGGGGAAUAUUGCACAAUGGGCGGAAGCCUGAUGCGGCAACGCCGCGUGCGGGAUGACGGCCUUCGGGUUGUAAACCGCUUUCGCCUGUGACGAAGCGUGAGUGACGGUAAUGGGUAAAGAAGCACCGGCUAACUACGUG